CUAUCUAUUACACUAAAAUAAUUCAACUUUGCCACAUGUCCCUAUUCUUGGCCAAUCAAUUGGUUGAUGUAGACACCCUCUUUGGCCAGAUAAUUCACAAUGGGCGCCAAUCUAUUUCCUAUAUCUCCUUCUCACGUACGUUUCUUCCCACAGUCAUCUCUCUCCUCAACCUUUCCAUAUCUUAUUUUGCCAAUUGCAAACCUAGGUGUUUAAAGCAAGGAUUGAAAGCAACGAUUGAAGGCAACAACGAGGCGAUUCUCUGAUGCAUCCUAAAUCGUUUCCCUCUGAACUAGAUCUUGACCUUCAAACUUCAAAGAUCCAGAAAGAAUUUGAGGGCUAGGGUAUGAGAUCGGAUUCUGAUUGUGUGAAACGUAAUCGUUUUUGUUCAGAUCUGGUUUUAGUUCUUUGAAUAAAUUGGUUCUCAUACAUUUUUUUGGAAGAGGCUUUCUAUUCAGGUAUAAAUCUUCAAUGGAAAGAUUGCCGGAUUGCAAAAGCUUAGCAAGAAUUGCUUUUGAAUGUAAUUCUGCAGGUGCUUCGAAGAUGUGGUAUGGUGUAUGUGGGAAAGAUGGUAUUAAAUUGGAGGCGAUGUGAGAAGACGUAAACCCCCAAAUAUCGGAGAAGGAGACUGUCUACAUAAUAGACAUAGCUUACAUCAGCACAACCGCGGUAGAUGGGCGAUACCAGACGAUGAAACAGAAAAUUGGUCGAAAGAGGUGCUUGAAUUCUACAACAGAGGCGACACGCCAUUCUGUUAUUCAGCUGUUUUUAAUAGAUCCAUACAGCUUGACAAAAACUUUUGUGGAACUUUAUUGGGAUUUCGUUUCAACGGCUAUCUCAACGAAACAGUAAAUUAUAUCAACAAUUUUACGUAAACUGUUUUUGUUAAAAUAUGUUACUAACACUACAAUUUUUACAGCAUAUCGAAGCCUGGGUUGGAAGACUGAUGAAUUGGAGAAGUAGAAAGCUUCAAAAAGACCUGUUGUUAAAUUUACGUUGGACAAUACUACCACCAAAGUUUUAUGAGUGUUUAUUGGAAUCGGUUCCGAAAAACGUGGCUACUUACUGUAAUGGUAAAUUAAGCCCGUUUCCUUCCUUUUUUAACAUUGAUUAUGUUUUUUUCCCGAUCCCCCUAGAAAAUAAGGAGUGGCUAAUGCUACGUCUUGAGCUGGCAACCCAACAUCUGGUAAUGUUCCCCGGUCAAGACAUAUGUGCAGGCGAAAAAUACAGACAAGUUGUCAUCCCUAGGCUGACAAAAAUAUGCGUAUAUUUAGGAGCAGUAUUAGUUAAUAUGCGCUACUGGAACACAUGUAAACAACUUCAUUUCUAUUUGGAGACUAUCGGAAGGCGGAUAGAUUGGCA